rnacentral:rRNA from 1 species
GAUCAAGCGUCUGAAGGGCAUCUGGUGGAUGCCUUGGCACUGAGAGGCGAUGAAGGACGUAGCACGUUGCGAUAAGUCACGGGGAGCCGCGAGCAGGCUUUGAUCCGUGAAUUUCCGAAUGGGGAAACCCACCGCGCAAGCGGUAUCCCACACUGAAUCCAUAGGUGUGGGAAGCGAACCCGGCGAACUGAAACAUCUAAGUAGCCGGAGGAAAGGACAUCAACCGAGACUCCGCUAGUAGUGGCGAGCGAACGCGGACCAG